AUGAGCUUAUAUUUCAUUGAGAGAGAUUCCACUUGCAUUUAGUGACCAAAUAGUGAGAUUUUGCUUUGGGAAAUUACAGGAAUGGCAAGUGGAAUUGAACACCAAGCUAGAAUUGAUUAACUUGUGUUUCCAAGACUGGAAACCUGGAGAGAAGAUGGGGUGAGAGUGGAGUUUCCAGGGUGGGAGUUUCAGGAGUGAAAGGUCCUGGAUUGCUUAUUUUGUGUAUCAAAGAUGGCAGCUGCUGAAGAGUGGUCUGGGAAAGAAGGGACUCAUGGCUGUAGUCCAAUAAUUGGUGGUGCAGACAGCUGCUAUGGAAACCUUGACUCAGGACAGGUAGAUUCUUAUAGCAGGAGUCGCAGAUAGAGAACAAAAAAUCCUCCAGAGUUUAUGACAAAGUGCUUGGCAUGUAGUAAGUGACAAAAUAAAUGCUUACUGAAGAAAGAGUGUGGAAUGGGCUUCUUAGGAUAUGGUGCUCUUCCCCACAAUGGAAUCUCCAAGAAGGAUGGGAUGAUCUUUCUCACAUGAGUUUAAAAGGAGGUUAGUGUUUGGAACUGGAUCAAACUAGAUGCUUUUUCUGGUCCUUUUCUUACUUUGAGUUUCCAUGACCAUGAGGUCUCUAGGAUCCCUUCCUGUUGUGUCUUGUCAUGAGUUUCCUUCUAGUCCUAGAAUUCUCUGUCUUAAGUUCUUUUCAAACUUUGACAUUUGCAGUCUUUGACUGGGUUCUGUUUUUCUGUCUACAGGGCCUGGACUCUUCCUCUACUUCCCCUGAAAUCUCAGCUGAGAAUCCCUAUCAGAUAUUGGACAUCACCAGAGUGGACGUUUAUGAAAAGAUCACUCCCCGGAAGAACCCUUAAGUCUAAGGCAGAGGGAGAAGUCACUAGUGAUGUAGUGAUAGUCCUUCUGAUUCACUUCAUUAAGUGGAAUUGAGAGGCAUCUUUUGGGAGAGAAAGUUGAGAGAUCUAGGUCAGUGGCAAUACCAAUCAGGAGAGAGGUGUGAUGGAACUGGCAAGUAUCCCAAUGAUGUCACGGGCAGAGAGAAAGGAGCCAUAAGUAUAUGACUACAUGCAGCAGCAGUUUUUAUUUUAGUGAGAAAUUACAAACAAACUGGGCAUUCCCCAACUGGGAUAUGUCUUAAUAAAUGAAUAUCAUGGAAUU
rnacentral:lncRNA from 1 species